rnacentral:rRNA from 1 species
GACGUAGGGCGCGAGCGUUAAUCGGAAUUACUGGGCGUAAAGCGUGCGCAGGCGGUUUGUUAAGUCUGAUGUGAAAGCCCCGGGCUCAACCUGGGAACUGCAUUGGAAACUGGCAAGCUCGAGUAUGGCAGAGGGGGGUGGAAUUCCGCGUGUAGCAGUGAAAUGCGUAGAGAUGCGGAGGAACACCGAUGGCGAAGGCAGCCCCCUGGGCCAAUACUGACGCUCAGGCACGAAAGCGUGGGGAGCAAACGGG